rnacentral:rRNA from 1 species
CCUACGGGAGGCAGCAGUUAGGAAUCUUCCACAAUGGGCGAAAGCCUGAUGGAGCGACGCCGCGUGAGGGAUGAAGGUUUUCGGAUCGUAAACCUCUGAAUCAGGGACGAAAGGCGCGCAAGCGAGAUGACGGUACCUGAGUAAUAGCACCGGCUAACUCCGUGCCAGCAGCCGCGGUAAUACGGAGGGUGCAAGCGUUACCCGGAAUCACUGGGCGUAAAGGGCGUGUAGGCGGGAAGUUAAGUCUGGCUUUAAAGACCGGGGCUCAACCUCGGGGAUGGGCUGGAUACUGGCUUUCUAGACCUCUGGAGAGAUACUCGGAAUUUCUGGUGUAGCGGUGGAAUGCGUAGAUACCAGAAGGAACACCGAUGGCGAAGGCAGAGUAUUGGACAGAAGGUGACGCUGAGGCGCGAAAGUGUGGGGAGCGAACCGGGAUUAGAUACCCGGGGUAGUCCACACCCUAAACGAUGUACGUUGGAUGACAGCAGGAUGCUGUUGUUGUCGAAGUUAACGCGAUAACGUACCGCCUGGGAAUACGGCCGNAAGUNAACUNAAG